GCGUUUGUGGUUUAGUGGUAGAAUUCUCACCUUCCACGUGGGAGCCUGGGGUUUGAGUCCCGGCCAAUGCA
rnacentral:tRNA from 1 species